GUGCCUUGAUCAUCUUUCUACGCCAAAUUGCAGUGUCUGGGUCAAAUCUCAAUUCCCAUGUAGGCCAGUAGUGCAAGUCUUGCUUCAAUGUUAGCACUUGUGGCUUUCCAUUCAACUUAAUCGUUCUUAUGCGAACAAAUUCCUCGCUGCCUAAUUCCUUUGUCAGGCUAACAAAAGCAUCCAAAUCAGGAGUUGGUUUUCCAUUGAC
rnacentral:misc_RNA from 1 species